CGUAAACAGUAAAUAGUACGGUUAUUGAUAUAUAAACAUUUAAUUUUAUGAAAAAGUGAGUGAAUAACAGAACAGUUAUGGGUAAAAUUUGUGUUGUGAAAAGUUGUCCAAGUGGACGUAAACCCCAAAACAAAAAAAAAUAGUUCACCUCAGCCUCUUUCGUAUUUCCAACCAACAACACGGGCAAGAUUACAAAAUUGGAAAAUUUCGCUGGGUAUUGAAUUAAAAGCUACUGAUAACAUCUGUCAUCUCCAUUUUAAAGAGGAGCAAAUAAAAAUGUACGAGAAACUGUACAUAAAAGAAGAGCUCGUAAUUAUGCCUAUAGGAAAAAAAAUACUAAAAGAAGAAGCUUUACCAACGAUCCAGCAUCAGUUUAUUCCGGUAUUUGAACAUGAGUUUUUAACAAGUACUGUAGAUGAACUGAAAAUACCAAGCUUACAUUCGAAUAACAAUGGAGACGAAGAGCUAUUUCUAGUGCAAGAAAAUAACAUCGAGCCCCAGACAAUAUUAGUAAAUGAUGUUCCUGAUAAUCUAAUAGAUGAUGGUGUUCAAAGGGAGCAAGACUUGAUAGAACCACCUUUCAGUCAACACGCCUGUAAGGAUUCAAAGAAUCUACAAGAAAUCGAAGCUCCAAAAUUGCCACCGUUUUGGUUGUAUAUACCCGAGCCCAAUGGAUUUGUAUUUAUGCGAAUGGAUCCAACAACUCAGCAGAUCAAAAUUCGGUUACGCUUAAACAAGGAUACAUCUAUUACUGUAUGUAUCAAUGAAUGUCCGAGCAGAUACAUCUAUUUUUUUUUAACAAUCAUUGAAAAAAUUAAUUCAUUAAGCGUAUUUCAAGUAGUCAUAAUCAGUGGAAAGAUGGCCUUUAUGUGUUGGUACUCAGAUUGACAGUAUAAAGUAUUCAAAACUUUGUAAAAAUGUGAUUGUUGGUGAUGACACUUAUAAAAGGAACCAAGCUAAUCCAAGAUGUAAACCUUAUCGAAUAUUACGGAAUCGAUUGCAGAGUCGAAAGUCGACUUCAAUUAAUUUGGAAACAACAAUUGCUAAAAAUACGUGCCUCAAAUCUAGUUAGGCAAUGCAAACAUUAAAA